rnacentral:lncRNA from 1 species
AUGACAUUGAAGAAUAAAGCUGACAUAAGACUAAAGGGUAUGGUUCGGCUCAUCCCCACGGGGAUGAGCCUCCACGUAGGCGCCACGUAGGCGGCUCGUGGGGGAUGAGCCAAAUGAAGGAUGGAGGGGGAUGGAGGAUAGGGCCCCACCUCAUUAUUUUAUAAUUUCCUAUGAUUUAAUUUAAUAACCCAAGUUAAUAAAAACUUUAUAAAAUUUAAAAAACACAACAUAAAACAACAUAAAUAAUUUCAUUUCAUAACAUAAAAAAAAUUACAUUUCCUAAAAAAAAAUACCGAAAAUAAAAAUAAAAAAAUUACGU